GUGUGUGAUGAAACAGUUAUGUCGAUAGCUGAUGGACUUCCAAGGAGAGCCAAUAGUGGAGGUUGCACCAUAAUAAUCAGCAAGGUAUUUUUCGGCAUGAGCCGAAGUGGAAAUUCUUAGAAUGGUUUAUUCUAAGUGGCGAUACUCUUUAUGGUAGAGUAUGACAGGUGUUCAGCAAUGUGGAGUAAGGCGGAUAGCUGCUGCUAUGAUCAUUUUUAAUCAAGGUGGAGUUUGUUGGGAUUUUGCUUAAAAAUGAGAAGGGUCAUUAUCCUACAUUGGAAAAAUGUUGAAGAGUAGCUUGGAUGCUUGCCUAUA
rnacentral:lncRNA from 1 species